rnacentral:lncRNA from 1 species
GUUUGAGGCCCAUCUGGACCACUUAGUGAAGCCCUUUUCAUCUCCAAAAAUAAAAAGGGAUGCGGAUGUAGCUUUGUGAUAGAGGGCUUGCCUCACAUGUGCAAGGCCCUGGGUUCAACCCUUAGUACCACAAAAAUAAAAGAAGACCUGGGAUUUAGCUCAGUGGUAAAGUUCCCAAGGUCAACCAAAAAAAAGUGUCACAAGAAAACAAAGUGGGCCAGUGUGGUGGCUCACACCUGUAAUCCCAGCGGGUCAGGAGGCUGAGGCAGGAGGAUGCAGACUUCAGAGCCAGCCUCAGCAAUUUAGCAACUCAGGGAGACCCUGUCUCUAAAUAAAAUACGAAAUAGGGCUGGGGAUGGGGCUCUGUGGUUGAGCGCCCCUGGGUUCAAUCCCUGGCACCAAAAAAAAGAAAACAAAGUGGCAUUUUUAUGAUUUAGCCCGAGGAGUUACAUAGAGUCACUUCCUCUGCUUGUUACCUGUUGAGGCCAUCGCUAAGGUCUGGCAGGGCCCAAGGGAAGAGAAUGUAUACGCCACACGAGGCAGGAGUGACAGUGCCACAUGGAACGUGCAGGAGGGCAUCCAAGUGGCAUCUGAGUGGCAGCGUUGACAAACUGUACCCAGGGACAGUCUGUAAACGGAAGAGUAAGGGGCUUCCUAACACUCAGACCUGACCUUGUCCCCAACUUGAAAGCAUCUUAAGGCCCCCGGAGUCUGCUAAUAACUGGAGGAUAAGGUCAGUGUCACCACUGUCGUGACUUCUGCGUCUGGCCAUUCUGAACCACUCCACUCCCUGAAGGGGCCACGCUGAGACCCGUUCCUGCUCCCCUGUCCUCCUGCCCUCUGCCCCCCUCCACCUCUCCAGUCCCCUUUCGCUGUGAGUCGAGGCCCAGCUCAGAAGUCACCCUGAGGACUGCUCCUGACCUGCCUCAGGUCCCCCCAGUCACUGUCCCCCUGCCCCGUGCUCUUUCCCUGCGCUACCAGCCGUGACAGUGCGCGGAUCAGACUUCCCACAAAACUGCUGCAAGCCACGAUCACAAGCUGGUGCUUGGCACGACGUGGAGCCUGGCGUCACUGUUAGAAUGCACCUGGUUACACAGUGUCCCUUGGCGCCCUAGAAUUCUCAGAGUAUGCACGCGGCGCUCAGCCACUGGCCACCCUCUUCCUGCAGAGCUGGCCGGGACUCCCAGCCCGGGAGGCAGGCCCCUGGCCCUCCUGGAGGACAGCAUCCGGGUUCCCAC